AGCUGCUGCCCCCCUGGCUCUGAGGAGAUCCUGCUUUUGGGGGGAGGACGCGUUGGGGGGCUUUUUAUUAUUUUAAAAGUACAAAGUGCUCAGAGGGUAGGUGAUUAUUAAGGGGAAUCCCUGAAUAUAUUCUCCAGCAAAGAAGGCAGGGCUGCUGGGCUGCUCAAGAAGAGAGCCAGCAGCCUCCUACAGCACCACUACAGGCACUGAGAGGACAUAACAUCAGAGAGCAGCUCCUCUGCCCUCCAAAACAACAACUUUCCUACCAUCUUGGAGGCGAAACUAAGCCACAAGGACUGAAGUUCUUGUCAUUAGCUGGAAUCACCCUGGAUGUGGAUUUUGGACUAUAACCAUGAGCUAAAUUCUAAAAGAACGUUUUGCAACUACAAGAUCACCAUCUCUAUUUUGUAACUGAACCUCAAGAAUUAAAAUCAUGUAACUCCCAUUAAUAUUACGAGGGCGUUAAUGGCAUAUAAUCUAUGUGUGCACUAAAGGGGGGCAGAAGAAAAGCGACCAUGUUGUCUGUAUGUGCACAUAUACAUCGCACACUAUAUCUACAUCCUCCAAAUGGAUCUGCCUGAGUCAAUGUUGCUGCACCCACAUGGAACCCUACUGAAGCCCUUAAUUUGUAAGUAUGGGCUACCUCAGACCCAUAAAGAUACAAACCUCUUUCUAAUUCUAGCAUUAAACAAGGGUGCCUCGAAGCGUGGAUUGGUGCCAACCAGAAGAAGGACAUCUGCCUCCUCCACUCCAGCAAUCUUGUUAUUAAGCAAAUAGUUAGAACGUAGAUCUGUGCUAUAAUAUAAGAAAACACAGAAAUUCUUUUAGGUCAGGAAAACAGGAAGAGUGGGAACAAGAAGAUGUACAGAGUCAUCCUUGCUACUGAUGAGAAAAGUUAACUAAGAGCCCCACAUUUAUUUUUUC